AAGAAGCGACUAAAUAGGCCUCUCCACCAAUCGGAAUCCUGCUUUCUCAAGACGCACAGUCUUUCUCCCCUAACCCUAACACCCAACCAGCAGUCUAGCGUUUCUCUGUCUCCAAGGCAACCCAGCUUGGCAGUCUGGAGGUGGCGCAGCCACUUCUGGGUGCUGUAAUGUCAAAGAAGCAGAGAGGCAGGAGGUGCUCUUGUCAGUAAAACGGAGUUUGUUAGCAGAAACGCCUGAACCAAGGAAUGGUUUGAGAGACUGAAAACGCUUUGCAGAUAUUCUUGGGGUGUUAGGAUCUUGUUAGAAAAGAGGGAGAAGACAAGGUAGGGCGUGAAAGUUUAUGGGAAUUGUAGUUUUGUGUUCUGUGGCGGUCUGGAGACGGAAAUCAUGAGACUGCCGCCUAGUGGCAGAUAUGAGGACAUCAGGCUCUGCAUUUAACCUGCUGUUUUUCCCAAGCCAGGGUUUCAAGGUCAACUAAAAAGGCUGAUUCCCACCAGGAUUCUCAUGACCUUCAUAAGAGCACCGGCAAGGUGUAACAUGGAUUGGAGAAGAGGAGAUUUUAAGUAUGCCAUAUGUAUGCAGUACCAACAGAGACCAGAAGAGGGCGGCAGACCCCCUGUAACUAGAGUUACUGACAGUUGGGAGCUGUCAUGUGGAUGAUGGAAACUGAACUUGGGUCUUUUGCAAGAGGAGCCGGUGGUCUUAACUGCUGAGCCAUCCUCUUGUUUUCGAGACAAAUUUUCAUGUAUUCCAUGUUGGCUUGAAACUCACUAUGCAGUCAAAAAUGGCUCUCAACUCCUGAUUCUGCGUAUCCACUGUUUAGGGGUGCAGGAAUAUGGGUCCAUUUUCUCUGCCAAUGAAAAUAUUAAAAGACAGGGAAUAGGCAGAGCAGUGGUGUUGCUUGCCUCCUAUCACACCACUAAGGAGGCAGAGGCAGAUAGAUCGCUGUGAGUUCAAGGCUAGCCUGUUCUACACAGUGAGUCCAGGACAGCCAAGGAUACACAGAGAAACCCUGUCUUGAAAAAACAAAAAGAGGAGGGGGAGCAGGAAAAGGUGUUACCAGACAUCAUGGGGAGUCUCAGCAGAGCCAUCAUGUGAUACUGGAGAACUCAGGGUUCAUCUUGGAGCCCUUAUUCUCAUUAAUAACAUAAGUUAAGGAGGGUCACAAAUGGACGCUCAAGAGCAAAGAAGUGACACCGGCAGAAGCUUUGGGACCAUUUAUUUCAGUUCAAAAAGAAAACACCAGGACAGGUGAGGUCAGAGGGCGAAGAAGGGAAAGACAAGAGCUACCCUGCUGCAGUAGAGGAGAAAGAGGCUUCAGAAAGAGAGUAAGGAAGCCCACCGUGUCAGGGAGUUUUAAAGCACACUCAGAUUUGGCCAACAUCUGAAAGCAAACGGAGACAGACAGGGCUUUCUGCUCUUGGGUUUUUAUUGGAGGACCAGCAAGAGGGCUUAGUUGUUAAAGAUACUCACUGCUAAACCGAUGAUGCCCUCAACACACAGAGAAUCACAUGGUACUCAUUGAAUACACACUGAAUCAAAAUAUAACAAGUUUUAUUUGAAAAUUAGAGAUGAUUCUCAGCACCCCUCCACCCUGUGUUAUUGGCUGUUUUGUGAAUGUAAGAAACAAACAUUUAGCUAUUAAGUAGUGUACAAUAAAGAAAGGUUGAAAAUGGCCCAGAAGGGAAGGCGUUGGGGAAACCCCUGGGAAGGCUCACUCAGCUCUUCUGCUGGCUACUGUCACACUGCACAGUCCUCAGACAGGCUUCCUGCUGGGCCUCUCGACACACUCGUCACUCUGCCAGUUGACAGGCCAGGGUAUGAAGAAGAGCUUCCUCGGGAUGUGAAGUGCUCGGGAGAACAGAGGGCUUGUGUGGGUUGCGUGAAACACAGUGGCUUCACUGGAAAGAACAGCAGGGGUCGUCUCUAUGGAAGAGGAGAAAGGGGGGAAGUCACAGUUGGACACUUACUUACAUAUUCAUAUAUUCUCAGACUCCUUGCCUCAUAGCCCCCCAACAACCCCACAGGACUCUACUCGAGGCUUCCGAGAUCGUACUUCUCACCUCCAGCUGGGACUUGGCUCCUCAGAACCAUGGUCCACCCACUUUGUUCUUCCUCCCCCAGACCAUUCCAGCUGCUGCUGUUGCUUGCCUCAGACCUCACGAGGAUUCAUGGGGAUGGGGAGCCUUGCAACCAGGGGAGCAGGCCUGGAGCAAGAAUGAGGUCAAGGUGUGUCCAGACCCAAGAAAUCUCGUCUUGAGAUGCAGCAGUAGCCAGUCUCAGGAGUAGCCUGCACGUCCUAGCUCACAUAGCCUGUGCGGACCCUACCUCUGCCACCCUUGAAGUGGUCAUGUAACCUGGCAGCCAGGUUAGAGGUUAAACUUCCUCCACCCUUAAGGGGUCUCACAAAAUCAAAACAGGCCUUGGACCUUCAAAAGCUGCCUAUCUCGCCCUUGAACUUCUGAUCUUCCUGAGUGCUAGGGCUACAGGUGUAAGCCACCGCUCCCAUUGGGUGUGGCCCUAGGGUACUGGUGAAGCACGUCACAAGGUUCUUACUAGAGUGCUGGCACUGCAGGUCUCUACCACCUCACUCAGCUUGCCAGCUGCCCCUGGGACACAUUUGGUCCCAUUCCCCCUUCUAUCUCAACGCCCAGAAGAUGACUCAGCACAGCAAAUGGAACCUGAAGUAGUGUCUGUUGCUCGAGUAUGUGAUGUCAUGUGGUCGUGCUGCCAACGAUGGUGGAGUUCAGGCAUGUGGGGUUCGGUGACAUCUCUUCCAACCCAAAAAGCUAUGUAUAUCGAAAACCAAAAAUGAUGAAGCCACCAACUCACCAUUCAGGACUUGGAGGCUCAGCAGACCUAAGUCUCCAUUUCUCUGCCUUGUAUUCCCAUUUUUCCCUUGCACAACGUGGAUCUUUCUGGACUUACUACACUCCAAGAGCAAAGGAGGUGGAGAUGUACACUCUGACCCAAGCCAGUCAACCAACCAGGUAUUUCUGCACUUGUGGACAUAGACAGAAACCCAGUCCCUGCUAUAGAGGAACACACAGAUAACUUCAGAGCAAUAAAAGACAGGGUAGAAGACUCACCAAGAGGGACACUCUGAACCCCCUUAGAUCUGCUGGGCUCCUCAGAGUCCCUUCUCUAUCCAAUAAACUGUAACAUCUGCCAUUAAA